AAGAAGGAGGGAGGGGAAAAGCGCGGGAAGCCGCCGCUCUGAGGCGAUUUACCUCACAGGCGCUCUCCCGCCCCACAGCAAUGGGGGCUUGCGGGGAGACCCUCGCAGGGCUGUGUGGUCCUCAACGAGGGGUUUCAGUCAGGCUGCCUGGCUGGGGAACUUUUUCUUUUCCCUUUUUUCUUCAUUUUAUAUUUUUAUUGUGGUCUCUGGGGCCAAUGAUGGGGUCUGGGGAAUGCAACCCCUUUUUCUUUUUCUUUCUUAAAGAUUUUCUUGAUUUACAAAAUCUUGAUCUUGCCGACUUAACGUAACUGACCCGCCUUCGUUUCGUCUCCUUUGCAAACCGCCCUUCGCCCGAGGAUCCCAGGGCGGUUAACAGGAGAAAGGCUCAGUGUGCAGGCCCUUUUCCUCCCCUACGACAACGCUGGCUGAGAACUGGCCGCAGAAGCCGUCUUGCAGGUGGAUCGUGUGAAGAAAUGCAGUGUGUGAGCUGUUGACUGCACAAUACAUUUUGCUGCAGUCCUCCAGAUAGAUUGGAAAUUGCGCCCUGGAAUUUGAAGGCAAGGUUGGGAAUUCAGGCAACUUGCGUCAUGAGCUGUUAAGGAGCUGUAAGCUCUUCCCAUUUGUUUGCAAGAACUGCUCGGAUUUUAUAGGCAGCUGUAUCCAAAUAAGGUACUGAAACAAGAGGGCUCAGAAGUUGACAUAAAUUACAUCAGCCAGACCUGGCUUCAGUUUAGCUACUGGACCUGACAGUCUUAUGGCUCUCUGCCUUUCUCUCUCUGCAAGUUUGGUAUAAGAAAGCUUUUUCCCCUUUCUGCUGCUCAGCACCUCAGUGUCACAGCCUGGCUCAAUAGUCUGUAACAGAUGGCUAGUUUUAAAAUCAGAUUCAUCAUUUUUCAUUCCUCAUUACACAGGCAUUGCUUAUGCAAAGCAUUAACCUUCAUAAUUGCCACUUACUUUGGGUAUCAGAUACAGGGGUUUGUGGGCUCUUGGGCACCAGGGUGCCAGUGGCCCACCUUCCUCUCCAUCACAGAGACCCCUCCCCGCAUGGAACCUUUCCUCUGUCAUGGUUUGGGGCAGCUGAUGGUGCUUUUGCUUUUGUUCCUACACUGGGGUGGCGAACCUUAGGCCCAUGGGCAGAAGGUGGCUCUCCAGGCCUCUCAAUUUGACCCACAAGACUCUCCCUUGGUCAUGCACUCUCCCCACUCCACAGCCCCCACUGACCCUCCUGCUCUGGGCCCUCCUCAAGUGCUUAUGCUU